CCUUUUUACCGGAUGAGCGUUUUUUCCAGACGACCAGCAUCCAUCUUUCAAGAACCGGGUGGAUCUGCAGGACAGACAGAUGAAAGAUGGAGACGUGUCUCUGAUUCUGAAGAAUGUGACGAUUAAUGACACUGGAACAUACGAGUGUCGUGUUGCCCAAAAAGAACCAAACCAAGAGAGACCCAGUUUGAAGCUCAUCAGCAGCAUCUACCUUCAUGUUGUUCCUCCAGGUCAGACAGGAGGAUCUGUUGGACUGAUCGUCGGUCUGUCAUUUCUUGCUGUGCUUCUUGUUGCUGGUGUUGCUGGAUUUUUGGUCUGUAGAAAACAUAAACAACCGUGAGUCAGGAUCCGUAACAGCCUCCUGCUGAACUGCAGUUUGAAAUGUGAGUUCUUUACAGCUGAACUCCUGGAGUCUGAGUCUCCUGAUGAGCCAGACUUCAUUUAUUGUUAUUAAACAUUCAGAAGAUGAUCUGAGGACAGACACUAGUCGCCUGUCGGUGAUUUGAAGUUACUGUUUUUGUUUGUUUGUUUGCUUUGUGUGCAUCAGUAUUAGUUAUUAGUUUGUUUUAGUUUCCAGGUUAGUCGCUCAUCUCAGUGGAAGAGUUUAUGUCCUUAAACAGUGUUAUUUACACUUUUGCCUUAUUUCUAUGUGGAACAUUCAGGACUUCCUCAUUCAAACAAAGAAAGUUUGUUCACAGUGAUGAGUUCAGUGUUGUCUCUGUCACAAUAUCAGAAUCAGUGAGUUUGUUUCAUCUUCAGGUUCAGCUGUUUGUAAGGUCAGACUCACAGACUGAUUCUCAUGUUUAGAUGUUACACAAUAAUUACAGACACUGACUGACAACACAAACACAACACAAAGUGCUCAGGGUCCAUUUAUCAGCCAGAACUGAGUGACUGAAUAAUCUGAUAUUAUUAUGAAACCAAAGAGAAAUGUGUUACAUGGAGCUGCAGAGUCACAUGUUUCCUCCUCUGAUCUAUGAAGCCUUAACUUGUUCCUUCAAGAAGGAGACUCUUCAGUUUAAACACGUCAAGAUUAUUUUUUUAUUUACGAUUUAUAUCAGUUUGUUUAUCGAAAAAGUUUAAACGUGUUACUCUUGAAUGUUUUUCUUUGCUUCCUGUAAACAUUUCCUGACCUCCUGUUUAAAUGUGUGCAGAUUUGAUCUUGAAUGUAACAAUGUGAACAUUUAUAUACUAGAGAUGGACCGAUCCGAUAUUAGGUAUCGGUCCGAUACUGACGUAAAUUACUGGAUCGGAUAUCGGCGAGAAAUAAAAAAUGUAAUCCGAUCCAUUAAAUAUCAAAAAAGCACCUCACAAAACUUGCGACACGACGUAACUCAGCUCAUAACCGUAGCACGUCGGAGCAGUAUGCAUCACGUGAUAGAGUGGCUGUGUGUAUUUGUAGCCUCGCUAGCAAACCAGCAUUUCCAUCUCCGAGGAAGUUAUCCCAGAGAGAAGUAAAGCAAGUGUGUAAGUUCAUCUCUGAAUGUUUGUAAAGCGUACCUGCGUUAAGCUUAACCACCGAUAUAUGGAGCGACUGCCUCUUCUCUCUCUCUCCCUCUCCUGCCGCUACUUCAUGAAACUCCUUAAUGAUCAGCUGAUCGGCUUUUCUGUCAGGAGUCCGUCUCUUCUUUGUUUUUUUGGCCCACUUUGCACCACAAGGAGGAAAACAGCAGCUGAACAACAGCAGCGCGUUUAAGCUUGAUAAACUGUUGUUAGAAUUUAUUUAAUAUUACUUUCUACACCAGGAUCCUUUUCUAGUAGCUGACGGCUGGUAACUGUGCAGGGGCGGAUCUAGCAAAGCUUAGCCAGGGGGCCCGAUAGGGCAUUAACAGGGAAAAGGGGGCACAAAGACAUACUUUUCUUUCUUAUUCUCAUUUAAAAUGUGUAGCUUUUAAUAAAUAAUUAUCUGACUCUUACACCCAAAGUUUUAAUCUGAUGUAAAAUGUAUAGAAGUCCAUUACUGUAUAUAGUAACUGUUAAGUCUAAUAUACCCUAGUAAGCUAUAGUACUUUUUCCUUUGGGAAGGUACCAUCUGUGCAGUCUGCAAUUCUGUAGAAGAAAGAUGUUGAAUCUAUUUAAUUAUUCUUGAAAAAUAAUUUAUUUCUGUGCAUUUUUUUUUCACACUGCAUCAAAUUAAAGUUGAUUAUGUCGAUUAAGCAUCAUGAGGUGGAGGGGGGUUCCUUUUUUUGUUGGGAGUUUGCAACCCUAUUAGUUAGGUUGCUUAAUAUUUCUGCUAAGUACUCUUUAAAAUACCAGAAUAGGAAGGAUGGAGUAGGUUUAAGUUUAUUAGAUUGAUCAGUAUUGCUGAACUAUGAAAUAUUUUGGGUGCAGUGUAUUUUUACAUACAGGUAUAACAGAAUAGCUUUAGUGUUGUUGUUUAUUUAAACUUGAGUAUGAACUUACACAAAAUUGCAGCAAGAUAUUAAAAAAACAGUUUUAUUGAUUAAAAAACACACUAUAUCGGAUUAAUAUCGGUAUCGGCAGAUAUCCAAAUUUAUGAUAUCGGUAUCGGACAUAAAAAAGUGGUAUCGUGCCAUCUCUAUUAUAUACUUAACUUGACAUUAUUACAACCUGUGAUCUGUGGAAGCUCAGUAUCGCUUCCUCUCAGAGGAGGUAAAAGACAGUGUUGAAACCUGGCUGUUCAUGAUGUUUGUGUAUGAGGUGUGUUACUGAGCACAACACUGUACACAGUUUUUCUGUGUUAACAUCUUUGUGCCAUCUUUAUGGGACAAAGAUGUUAAAUGUUAAUGAGAAGAGCUACAAGUUGAUUUGUACUUUGAAAUGAUCAAACAUUCAUAUUUCACGAUACACUUUCUAUGCGAGCUAGCUUCUGUGCUACUAAAACCUGCUGUUAUUCUGCUGUUAAUGUAUCCUGUUCAUAUGCACAUAAUAAACUUAAUCUCUGAAUGAUAAACAAACCUUUGUCUGUCAUUUCAUACACAACAUAGUGUUCAGGUCUUACCUGAGCAUAGCUA
ensembl:lncRNA